CAAUACACUGUAAUUGGAAGAACUUGUAGGAUCACUCAUGACCCAUGAGUUGACCAUGAGGCAAAAUUCAGAAGAUGAGGUCAAAAAAAGAAACACCAAUGCCUUGAAGUCUACCACUCCAAAACAGAAAACUGAAUCAAAAGAAUCUGAUGAUGAGGAGGAAUAUGAUGAAGAAGGAAUGGCUAUGCUUGCAAGAAAAUUCAGAAAGUUCAUGAGAGGAAAGAAGAAAUUUCAUAAAAGGAAGCCCUUCCUCAAAGGUAGCUCAAGCAAGGAAAAGGGUAAGGACAAAGAAA
rnacentral:lncRNA from 1 species